ensembl:lncRNA
CAGCUGUGCUAUUUUAGUACACAUCAGUUCUCUUGAUUUAUGGAAGACUCAGUUUAUCAAUUAAGAAUUCCUGCAGAAGCACAGAAUCAUACUGUGUAAGAGUUGGAAGGAAGCUUAAGAAUUUCUGUUCGAAUCUCUUUGUUUCAAAGAUGAAACUAAAGCACAGCAUGUUAAAUGACUUGUCUAAGUUAUAGCUAGUUAGUAGCAAAUGAACUGAAAACCUAUAUGCUACUGUAGUCCAAACUUUUAUUAUGUCCUCUUAAUCUUUACAUUUAGUGAGUCAGUAUGGAAAUCUCUGCAUAUUUCUCAUUCUCUUUGAAAGAGGGAAAAAAACUUCUAAGAGAGCUACAACUCUUAUCACUCAUGACAGAGUUGCUUGUAGAAAAUAACUAAUUCCUUCAGAACCCUGAGUGAAUUUUCUUCAAGAAACGUGACUUGAUUAAAAUGAUUUCAAAAGAGCAAUAGUGGAAAUUAAUGUUUUAGAAAAGAGACUGGGUGUGGUGGUUGACGACUGUAAUCCCAGCGCUUUGGGAGGCCGAGGCCGAAGGAUCACUUGAGACCAGGAGUUCAAGACCAGCCUGGACAACAUCGCAAGACCCACCUCUCUACAAAAAAAAUUUUUUUCUGAAAAGAAUAAUUACAUUUUAGAGUCCAUUUAUUUGAUGACAGGCAGUAUGACAGGUUGCUGAGGGAUAUAAAAUUUUCUAGAGAAAUGCUGAGUUUGAUGACAUUUUAUCUUCCGUUUUGUAGAACAACAGAUGUUAAAAUUUCAACUCUCCUGGUGUGCAGAAAGCUCUAAUCAUGACAGUUGAUAAUAUGCAAUUUAGUUUGAUUUUAAAAGUUUAAUUAUAAAAGACUUCACAAUAUGCAUGUUUUAGGAAAAUGUUCAUUUAUUUAGUCAUAUAAUUGUAUAUAUGUAAAUAACUUUAUUCUGGAAUAAUGUGGGUGCCAUCUUGAGCAUGUGUUUUUAUUUGGAUUAUUUUUUGUAUACAAACACCAUAAUACUGUGUUUUCCUGUUAUCUACUUAAGUCUAGUUCUACUUUUUACCAAUAAUUUCAGGAAAAUACAAGCUUAAGAUACUAUACUAUCUCCCUUGGUAUUUUUUUUUGUGCAAAGUCUUAGAAUUAGAUUUAUAACAUUGAUAAUAAAAAUAUAAAACGUUUUUUCUCAAGAAUUAAGACAGUAAAAAGGAAAAAUAGAAUGCAUAAGAUCAUUUCCCCAUCAUAAAGGAAAGAAGAGACUUCAUUGUUUUUUUUUGUUGUUGUUGUUUGUUUGUUUGUUUUUGAGGCAGUUUCACUCUUGUCACCCAGACUGGUCUCGACUUACUGCAACCUCCACUUCCUGGGUACAAGUGAUUCUCCUGCCUGAGCUUCCUGCAUAGCUGGGAUUACAGGUGUGCAACCACAAGGCUCGGCUAAUUUUUUUGUAUUUUUAGUAGAGAUGGGGUUUCACCAGGUUGGCCAGGCUGGUCUUGAACUCCUGAUGUCAAGUGAUCCUCCUGCUUCCGCCUCCCAAAGUGCUGAGAUGACAGGUGUGAGCCACUGUGCCCAGCCGAGGCUUCAUUGUUUAAUGUAUAUUUUUAUUUUUUCCGAACACCAGCUCGAACCAGAAAAUAGUAAAUGAUUUAAAGUGGUUAUGAUCUGUUUUAUGAAGGCUUACUAUUUUAUAUUGUACUUAUUUAAUUUGUAUUUGAGUCUCUAAUUUUAAAUAAAAGGUUUAUACAUUUG